rnacentral:rRNA from 1 species
CAGCAGCAGCCGCGGGAAUACAGAGGGUGCGAGCGUUAAUCGGAUUUACUGGGCGUAAAGCGUGCGUAGGCGGCUUUUUAAGUCGGAUGUGAAAUCCCUGAGCUUAACUUAGGAAUUGCAUUCGAUACUGGGAAGCUAGAGUAUGGGAGAGGAUGGUAGAAUUCCAGGUGUAGCGGUGAAAUGCGUAGAGAUCUGGAGGAAUACCGAUGGCGAAGGCAGCCAUCUGGCCUAAUACUGACUCUGAGGUACGAAAGCAUGGGGAGCAAACAGGAUUAGAUACCCCCGUAGUCCCUGUCUCUUAUAC